UAGCAGCCGCCGGAAGUACGGGUAUUAUUGAUGUUAAUAUAUUUGAAAAAAUUUUUUCGUUGCUAU
rnacentral:tRNA from 1 species